CCUACGGGUGGCAGCAGUGAGGAAUAUUGGUCAAUGGGCGCGAGCCUGAACCAGCCAAGUCGCGUGAGGGAAGACGGUCCUAUGGAUUGUAAACCUCUUUUGUCGGGGAGCAAAAGACGCCACGCGUGGCGUUCCGAGAGUACCCGAAGACAAAGCAUCGGCGAACGCCGUGCCAGCAGCCGCGGUAAAACGGCGGAUGCGAGCGUUAUCCGGAUAUAUUGGGUUUAAAGGGUGCGCAGGCGGAAGAUCAAGUCAGCGGUAAAAUUGAGAGGCUCAACCUCUUCGAGCCGUUGAAACUGGUUUUCUGGAGUGAGCGAGAAGUAUGCGGAAUGCGUGGUGUAGCGGUGAAAUGCAUAGAUAUCACGCAGAACUCCGAUUGCGAAGGCAGCAUACCGGCGCUCAACUGACGCUCAUGCACGAAAGUGUGGGUAUCGAACAGGAUUAGAUACCCUAGUAGUC
rnacentral:rRNA from 1 species